rnacentral:rRNA from 3 species
AAAACGACUCUCGGCAACGGAUAUCUCGGCUCUCGCAUCGAUGAAGAACGUAGCGAAAUGCGAUACUUGGUGUGAAUUGCAGAAUCCCGCGAACCAUCGAGUCUUUGAACGCAAGUUGCGCCCGAAGCCGUCAGGCCGAGGGCACGUCUGCCUGGGCGUCACGC